AGGAGACCUGGAUCAACAGACCCGAUGCUGCUUGUCAACCCUGUAAAAGCUCCUGUGUCUCCUUGAUCUGGUCUCAUCUUCAGUCCUUCAGUGCAUCAGUGCAACAUGGUGAGGAAUGAAACUUUUACUGCUGUUGAUUCAUAAACAGACAGUUUAUGUUCAUUAUAUUACAUUCAGACGUACUGACUUCUGUCCUUCCAGCGUCUCUCCAGACUCUUCUGGUCGUCCUCCUUCACCUCAGACCUCCAUACAUCCCUCCUCUGGUCAGACUGCAGCCUCGGCUCUGACAGGACCACAACCAGCCAGACUUUUUGUUUGCCAUGUCUGUAUUGACUUUGUGCAUUCAUCAACAUCAUCAACAUGUGCAUAAGCCAAUCAUAUUGGCUGUUAUGUAUGAUUUGAUCAAAUGUAUUGAAUUAUAUAUAAAUAUAUAAUAAAUGUCUUGAAUCUA